CAAAAAGAAAUAUAAGUACCUAAUUUUAAUAAUUGGAGAACGGAAUAGAUUAUGGCGAACUUGAGGGAGGGAUUUAAAAUUAUCCCCUUUAUAAAAGAAAAUCAUCUAUUUUUUUCUAUCAGUUUUCUUUUUUCAGCUGCAUAGCCACCAUACCAUCAGUUACUGCUGACAGGGCAGAGUCAUCUGCAUUGAAAUAUAAUAAUUGUAUAUUAUAAAUUUUUUAAUUUAAAUAAGUUAGGCGCAUCAUAAUCUUAGGCUGCCCCAUUUAGAUUUAACAAAAUUGUCAGCCAUAGAUGUUGCCCCUGUCAAAUCCAUUCUUUUUUGAUUCUGUGAAUAGAAAAUCUAUAUUUACUAAUUCCUUUCGAGAAAAGAAAAGAAACUUCAAAUGAUCUUCUGCUCAAAAUUUUCAGAGCGGAGUUCAGACAUUAGUGCUUUAAACUGGUCCCUCAGUACAAGGAAAACCUCAUCAUUCGAUGUAAAGCCAAAAAGAUCUUUCCAAGCAAAUUACAGGUGUUCAAAGAUGAGAAGAUGAACAUUCCAUCAGUUGUGUUAGAAUCUACCCAAUCAUAUUCUUGUUGACAAACACUUGGCACUGGUAUUUAUGAUAUUCCCUCAUUUCUCAGACGUAUUUGGUGUGUGUAAGCCUCGUCUGAUUUACAGAUUCUUUUUUUCUCUCACUCUCUCUCUCUCUCUAGAAAUAUGGUUUUUCAUAAUGGAUUAGGUUUGUGUCUUUAUUCUAAUGGUUUACUCUUUGUUUGGAUUGAGAGAAAAUAUCAAAGGUAGAAAAUAAGAGAAAAAGGAGGAAAAUAGUUUUUUUUUUUUUUUAAUGUUUAGAAAAGAAAGAGAAAUAGUAACUCUUAUUUUUCAAUUUAUAUCUUCUCUCUAUUUUAAAAAGAAAAAUAAAAAUGAAAGUAAAAACAAAUAAAUGGAAAAUGAAGAAUGUAUUUUAUUUCAAUCCGUUCAAAUAAAUAAAAAAAAAAUUAUUUUCUCUUCUCAUUUUCUUGUUCCAGCGUGGGAGGGAAAGUGAACAGAGCUCAGGAUACAUAUCACAUUUUUUUAAUGAAGUGAUUAAAUGCCACGUGUUAUGUGAUAACAAUCAGAGGCACCGAUGAGCAGAAGUAGGUGAGUGAUUGAUUUGUUUGGCAUAUCAAUAAAAAGAGAUGUUUUGCGAUUUUGUAUAGAUAUUUUGUGAUUUGAAGAGAUAAUAUAUCGGGAAGAAUGCGUUCCAGGGGCGGUUCUCUGAUGCUCUUUCCUUUUAUACUCUCUCUGUCCCACCUUGAUGGUACAUAAUAGUUCACUCCUUUUUGUAUUUAUUAUUUAAUAAAUAAUGAAAUAUAAUAUAUUUUAUUAGAGUAGAAUGAGAUAAUUACUAAUUACAUUAAAAAUAUUAAUAGAAAAAUUAUCACAAAUUAAAAUCUAAUUAAUUUUCUUGAUUUAUGUAUAAAGUAAAAAUAG
rnacentral:lncRNA from 1 species